rnacentral:rRNA from 1 species
AUUGAACGCUGGCGGCAUGCCUUACACAUGCAAGUCGAACGGCAGCACGGGUGCUUGCACCUGGUGGCGAGUGGCGAACGGGUGAGUAAUACAUCGGAACGUAGCUCAUCGUGGGGGAUAACGCAGCGAAAGCUGUGCUGAUACCGCAUACGCCCUGAGGGGGAAAGCGGGGGAUCGCAAGACCUCGCGCGAUUAGAGCGGCCGAUGCCUGAUUAGCUUGUUGGUGGGGUAAAAGCCCACCAAGUCGACGAUCAGUAGCUGGUCUGAGAGGACAAUCAGCCACACUGGGACUGAGACACGGCCCAGACUCCUACGGGAGGCAGCAGUGGGGAAUUUUGGACAAUGGGGGCAACCCUGAUCCAGCAAUGCCGCGUGAGUGAAGAAGGCCUUCGGGUUGUAAAGCUCUUUUGUCAGGGAAGAAACACCGGCUCUAACACAGUCCGGGAAUGACGGUACCUGCAGAAAAAGCACCGGCUAACUACGUGCCAGCCGCCGCGGUAA